UACAUGGGGUGCAAACGUUGCUCGGAAUUAUUGGGCGUAAAGCGCACGUAGGCGGUUCGUUAAGUCGGAUGUGAAAGCCCUCGGCUCAACUGAGGAAGUGCACCCGAAACUGGCGAGCUUGAGUACGAAAGAGGAUCGCGGAAUUCCCGGUGUAGAGGUGAAAUUCGUAGAUAUUCGGAAGAACACCAGUGGCGAAGGCGACUCGCUGGACAGGUAUUGACGCUGAGGUGCGAAAGCGUGGAGAGCAAACAGG
rnacentral:rRNA from 1 species